AGCGCCGGCCAUAGGGUGGGUGGAAACGCCCGAACCCGUCCGAUCUCGGAAGCUAAGCACCCGCCCGCGUGGGUGUUAGUAGGGUGGGAGACCCCCUGCGAAGCCCAUGUGCUGGCGCUC
rnacentral:rRNA from 1 species